AACCCUAGAGCUCAGUGUUCACUUCAAAAAAACCUAGAGCUCACACGUCACUACAAAAACGAACCAAUGGCGAUUUGGGGAGACGACGCCAGCAUCAAUCUCGACGAUUUCUCGCCCUCAUCGACUCUCGUCCCCUUCGAUACCCCGAUUCCUUUACUAAGAGGCCCGAUUCCUGCCGCGCCCUCCGACGAUCCAGGCGCUGGCCCCUUCGUCCUCGCCUUCAACAGCGCGUCCAGUUGGAGAUCAGCGUUUGAAUCGACGCGAUCCAAGCUCGUCGAUCAGUGCAUGGCUGGAGCACGUGUCGGUUGUUCUAUCAGCGCAUCGAACAAAUGCAAGCCGCCAUGGUGGAAGACCCUCUUUGGAGCCUCAGUGGCAGAUUAUGCUGAGAGAGAGAAGUGCGAAGAAAUGGAGAUAGCCUCGUGCCUUGAAGCAUCUGCGGAGCAGUGCAUUAAGUUUGCAAAAGAGAAAUGCAUCGCAGUCUUUCGAGAUGCGAGGAUAGCCUCUAGUGAAUGGAAGGGAGCUUCACAUCUUGUUUUCUCUGCCUCGAGGAAUCCAAAUGAUGAUUCUCUGGAAGCCAACAUUGCAGAAAUUGAGCAAGUGCAUGGUCCUGAAGGUUGAUGCGAAUCAAGGACGAGGCUGUUAAAGUUGGCGAGCUGUAAUUUGCACCAAUUGGCGAUGGAGCUUGAUAACAGUGCGAGGAACAUCAAGGGAUCUAUUACAAGGGCGAAAAAGGGGGCGACCAUUAGCAUCAGUCUGGAGCUUGAGCUUACUGGUUAUGGUUGCGUGGACCAUUUCAUGAACCAGGAGAACAUCGCUCAUUUCUCAUCUCUGUUGGAAGCCUUUCUAAAGGAAUCAAACUUAUUUUCAUCUUUUCCUACUUAAUUCAAGUUAUGUAUGGAUUCUAUGGAACCCGUCAACAUCUUCCUUUUAGCAAAGUUGAAGAUAUUAUCCUGUUUCUUGUUCAAAUUUAGUGUCAGUUGAUGCAUAUGGCAACUUACUGGGCACGCGCUUUGUAGGAACAUCGCAGAAAUUGUAUUUAUUGAGUUUAAGCCGAUGGCCAGUUCUAUCUGUAAAUAAGGGUUACCCAAAUGGAUGGAAACUUCAGUGCUUUUGUUCA